rnacentral:rRNA from 1 species
AUGGCGCCACUCGCACGCAAGCACCGCAAGGCGUCACCUUCCCCUUCCCCCUCGGAGGCUUCUCCCAAUUCAGGCAGCGACUCUGAACUCCACCUCGAUGACCACUCCGACCCAGAGGACAGCUUCUUCUCCACAAGGAGCGCUGCCGAUGACGACGUCCAGGAUUCCUCCACCAGUGACGAGGAGGAGGAUGACGAUGAGGAGAGCCUCCAUGAGGAGGAGGAUGACGAUGAGGAGAGCCUCCAUGAUGAUGAGGAUGAUGAUGAGGAGAGCCUCCAUGAGGAGGAUGAUGAUGGUGAGAUGGGAGAGCUCGAGCAGCAGUAUCGCACCCUCCAGGCCAAUCAACAAAGCAUUCUUCAAACCCUGAAACAACACAGGGAUGACGAUGUCUCAAGAGGCCAGGCAGUCAAAAACCAAAAGGCGCUAUGGGAUAAGACCCUGGAAAUGAGAUUCUUGCUGCAGAAAGCAUUCUCCACUUCAAACAAGCUUCCCAAGGAUCCAUCCAAGUCAAGGUUCUGCAGUCAUGAUCAGGAGAUAGAGCAAGCAUAUGUUGAUCUGUUGGACUCAUCGAAACAGACUCUCGGUUGCAUGCUGGAGCUGCAGAAGGCUUUACUGGAGCAGAACCAGGCUGCAAAGGGUGCAAAUGACACAUUGCCUGACUCAAAUGGAGAGAGUGACGAGUGGUUGCAAGUACAGAAAUUGCAUACAAGGAUAACCCCUUUCAGAAAUACCGAGAUAGAUAAAUGGCAGAGGAAAACACAGGUCACAACUGGAGCUGCUGCACUGAAAGGAAAGUUGCACGCAUUUAAUCAGAACAUAAGUGACCAAGUUGCUGGUUACAUGAGAGACCCAAGCAGGAUGAUUAACCGGAUGUACUUGAGGAAAUCUGAUGUUGGUGUAUUCGGGGAGAGUGCAGCGGAGCCUGCUACUACCGUUGAGGGGAAGGAUGUGGAAGGUGAUCCUGAACUUAUUGAUGAUUCUGAAUUUUAUCAUCAACUUCUCAAGGAGUUUCUCGAGUCGUGUGAUACAGGAGCAUCUGAGUCUGCAUUUUAUGCUCUGAGGAAGAAGCAGAACAAGAAGAGGAAACUCGUGGAUCGCCGCGCUUCAAAGAGCAGAAAGAUAAGGUACAGUGUUCACGAGAAGAUUGCUAAUUUCAUGGCCCCGGUGCCUAUGACGGUUCCUCCAAUGGCUUCGAAACUGUUUGAGAAUUUGUUUGGAAUGGGCAACCUGCAGAAGUCAGCCGCGGUCUGA